UACGGAGGGUGCAAGCGUUGUCCGGAAUCACUGGGCGUAAAGGGCGCGUAGGCGGCUCAUGAAGGCUGUGGUGAAAGUCCGGGGCUCAACCUCGGAUCGGCCGUGGCGACUCGUGGGCUGGAGCACUGUAGAGGGGAUGGAAUUCCGCGUGUAGCAGUGAAAUGCGUAGAUAUGCGGAGGAACACCGAUGGCGAAGGCAAUCCCCUGGACCUGUACUGACGCUCAUGCACGAAAGCGUGGGGAGCAAACAGG
rnacentral:rRNA from 1 species